GUUUGUUAAGUGAAAAUGGGAUUAAAUUAACCAUGGCUCAAAAGACCCAAGCUUGAUGUAGCCACGGAUGCAACGCACUGGAUGAACAUUAGUUGGCUGCAUUUGGUGCAACAGAUGCAGCGCACCAUUGGUAGAACUGCAGGUGACCUUGAUCAACGCAAAAUAUGCUACUAGACAAACUCCAUCCAUCGUGUGAUAAUGCAACACUAAGCAUAUCACACCAUAGAUGAACUGGGUCAAUAAGGUUUUUUUAGAUAUACGGUCAACCAAAGCCAAAGACCCCAAUAUAAGAAGAUUUGAUCAAAUUUUACCCCC
rnacentral:lncRNA from 1 species